rnacentral:rRNA from 1 species
ACCGGGUCCGGACACACUGAGGAUUGACAGGCAAUAUUAAUACUUUGCUUCGGCAUUGUAUUAUGUUAAAUAUGCUAGUCCUUUCAUGAUUAUGUGAUAGGUGGUGCAUGGCCGUUCUUAGUUCGUGGAGUGAUCUGUCUGCUUAAUUGCGUUUCACUAAGGGCCUAUAAAUUUACGUAUGUUGUAUCGCACUUUGACCCCUUUCUUUAAUUAGAAAGCGCGUGUCUUAGUUUCGCUUUGCUCAUACAAUUAGGUCCUGAAAGCAACGAACGUGACCGCAACCUCUUGUUGCCUUUAUACCAAACAUGUUUAUUCAUUUUUUAAUGUUCAUUCAUGAAAAAAGGCUUUUUAAACUAGAGGGACCGCUGUUACUUUCUUAAACCAGAGGAAGGUUGCGGCAAUAACAGGUCUGUGAUGCCCUUAGAUGUUCCGGGCUGCACACGUGCUACAAUGAUUAUUGCAGUGAGCAUCUCAUUUUUACACACCGCAUGCGCGAGUCCAUUUAUUCACCUUCGGGUGUUUUAAAUGUGUACCUCUGCGCGCGGUAAAGCCUGCUUCGAAAGUAAGUGGGUAAUCAAUUAGAAGUAAUGAUUUCCUUUUUUAGCACACAUAUAUACGGCGUCUAUGCCCGGGUUACCUUGUUGUAGCUUUUGUGUGUAUAGAUGUUUUUUCCGUAUGUGCGAUUGUCAAUUCAUGGUGGGGACAGACCAUUGUUAAUUGUUGGUCUCGGUCUUAACUAGGAAUGCCUUGUACGGGUCUUUGGUUCAACAAACCACCCGGAAUACGUCCCUGCCCUUUGUACACACCGCCCGUCGCUCUUACCGAUGGACUUCUCUGUGAGUUUGAGGGACUGGGAACGCAGGAAUUUAUUUCUGCACACCUAUGGAAACUUAAACGAACAGUGUGGUCUAAAGGAAAGAGAAGUCGUAACAAGGCAUCGGUAGGUGAACCUGCA